UUAGCCUCGCAACCCAUGGCAA
rnacentral:misc_RNA from 1 species